rnacentral:rRNA from 1 species
GAUGAACGCUGGCGGCGUGCUUAACACAUGCAAGUCGAACGGUGAAGCAGGAGCUUGCUCUUGUGGAUCAGUGGCGAACGGGUGAGUAACACGUGAGCAACCUGCCCCUGACUCUGGGACAAGCGCUGGAAACGGCGUCUAAUACUGGAUAUGUGAUGUGACCGCAUGGUCUGCAUCUGGCAAGAAUUUCGGUUGGGGAUGGGCUCGCGGCCUAUCAGCUUGUUGGUGAGGUAAUGGCUCACCAAGGCGUCGACGGGUAGCCGGCCUGAGAGGGUGACCGGCCACACUGGGACUGAGACACGGCCCAGACUCCUAUGGGAGGCAGCAGUGGGGAAUAUUGCACAAUGGGCGGAAGCCUGAUGCAGCAACGCCGCGUGAGGGAUGACGGCCUUCGGGUUGUAAACCUCUUUUAGCAGGGAAGAAGCGAAAGUGACGGUACCUGCAGAAAAAGCACCGGCUAACUACGUGCCAGCCGCCGCGGUAA